CCACUAUGAAAAACACAAGGAUGAUUUUCAUUCUCUACUGAGUAAGAAGGUCUCAUCCCCAAAUAUUAAGUGGGGCUGGAAGGACAUAGGGCUGAAUUUGUCUUUCCUGUCCAUCAGGGCCAUAGCACCUGAAGGACCAGGCAGUUUUGUGUGGUUGAGAAUUGCCUCCUAUGCCAGUUAUGGAUAUGCCAGCCUCAGUUAG